GAUGAACGCUAGCGGCAGGCUUAAUACAUGCAAGUCGUGGGGCAGCAUGAAUGUAGCAAUACAUUUGAUGGCGACCGGCAAACGGGUGCGGAACACGUACACAACCUUCCUAUAAGUGGGGAAUAGCCCAGAGAAAUUUGGAUUAAUACCCCGUAACAUAAUGAUGUGGCAUCACAUUAUUAUUAUAGCUACGGCGCUUAUUGAUGGGUGUGCGGCUGAUUAGAUAGUUGGCGGGGUAACGGCCCACCAAGUCUACGAUCAGUAGCUGAUGUGAGAGCAUGAUCAGCCACACGGGCACCGAGACGCGGGCCCGACUCCGACGUGAGGCAGCAGUAAGGGAAAUUGGUCAAUGGACGCAAGUCUGAACUAGCCAUGCCGCGUGAAGGAUUAAGGUCCUCCGGAUUGUAAACUUCUUUUAUCUGGGACGAAAAAAGGCGAUUCUUCGUCACUUGACGGUACCAGAUGAAUAAGCACCGGCUAACUCCGUGCCAGCCGCCGCCGUAAGAC
rnacentral:rRNA from 1 species